CUGCAGGCAGUACUGUAGUUGAAAGGACAGAGGGAGUGAUCGUAGAGGUGAUGAAUCAUCCUCAUUGAAGAUUCAGAUGUGCAUUAAUGCAGUGACGGGACAGGCUUUCUGAGAAAGUGAAGAGUAAAAGAUGGUGCAUGAAACGUGGCGACUCUUGUGUUUGAACUCGGUGUAGUCUGUACUGUUGGUGUUAUUAUCGUCCAAGUUGUGCUUCAGAGUCAUAUAGGCACACGGCAUGGAACAAGGCUCUUCGGCCCACCUUGGACAUG